rnacentral:rRNA from 1 species
UACGGGGGGGGCAAGCGCUGUUCGGAAUUACUGGGCGUAAAGGGCUCGUAGGCGGCCAACUAAGUCGGAUGUGAAAUCCCCAGGCUCAACCUGGGAACUGCAUCCGAUACUGGAUGGCUUGAAUUCGGGAGAGGGAUGCAGAAUUCCCGGUGUAGUGGUGAAAUGCGUAGAGAUCGGGAGGAACACCUGUGGCGAAGGCGGCCGACUGGGCCGACCCUGACGCUGAGGCGCGAAGGCGUGGGGAGCGAACGGG